rnacentral:tRNA from 1 species
GGAUGGGUGGCCGAGCGGUUGAAGGCACCGGUCUUGAAAACCGGCAGGCCCGAGAGGGCCUCGUGGGUUCGAAUCCCACCCCAUCCGCCA